GGCAUGGUGGUGUGCACCUGUAGUCCCAGCUACUCAGGAGGCUGAGGUGGGAGGACUGCAUGAGCCCAGGAGUUCAAGUCCAACCUGGGCAACAUAGCGAGACUGUCUUCUCACAAAAAAAUGUUAUUUGUUUAUUUAUUUUUAGACGGAGUCUCACUCUGUCACCAGGCUGGAGUGCAAUGGCGCGAUCUUGGCUCACUGCAACCUCCACCUCCCAGCUUCAAGUGAUUCUCCUGCCUCAGCCUCCCGAGUAACCGGGAUUACAGGAGCGUGCCACCACGUCUGACUAAUUUUUUAUAUUUUUAGUAGAGACAGGGUUUUACCAUGUUGGCCAGGCAUGAGCCACUGCGCCCGGCCCAAAAAAUUCUUUUAACUAAAAAAAAAUUGUUUAAAAAAAUACUGCAAUGAGAGAAGAGCUGAAGUGUGGAAGAAAUGAAUGUUUUCAGAAAAAGAAGGGUGAUGACAUGAAGCUGCAGGCUGGAAGCUGGAGCGCACAGUAGAACGUGAGGCUGUAAAGACAGGCUGAGGUUGGCUUGGGAAGGGUCUCAUGGGCCUUCUAGGGAGUCUGGGCUGUACUCAAGUUUGACAAAGUGCAUAGGUUAAGCAGGGCCAGACUGGAGGGAAGGGAGGCAGAAAGGAGAAGAACCCAUCAGGCUGUUGCAGCCCCACUCUUAGUGAGGAUAGUGAGGCUACAGUCAGUAAUGGCCAGGAUGUUUAGGAAGUGGAUUGGUAAGGCUUGGUGACUGUCAGGGGCAAGUAGUUUGCAAACCUGAAAGGCAUAUCGCCCGCCAGAAGCUCACCUGAUUAGGAUUGUGGAGAAAAAGAAAAUUCAAGGGAACUAUUUAAUAGGCUCCUUGGGAGAAGAUGAGAGGGGUUAUUUGACCAUAAGAAGACAAGGCUAAGGGAUUAUUAACAUAGGAAGCCUUAUAAUAAAAACGUUUCCCUCUGAAGUCAGACAAGGAAAUUAAAGCUAACUUGUAGCACGUAGGACUCUAGAUAGGAGAAGGAAUCGCUAACCACAUGACAACUAUGUUAUAGGUAUUGAAGAAACACAGAAGAACUUUUUUUUUUUUUUUUUUUUUUUUUUGAGACAGGGUCUCACUCUGUCACCCAGGCUGGAGUGCAGUGGCACGAUCAUGCCUCACUAUAGCCUCUGCCCCCUGGGCUCAGGUGAUCCUCACAACUCAGCCCCCCCAAGUAGCUGGGACUACAGGCAUGCACCACCAUGUCUGGCUUUUUGUAGAGACAGGGUUUCGCAUAUUGCAGGCUAGUCUCAAACUCCUGGGCUCAAGCAUUCUACCCGCCUUGGCCUCCCAGAGUGCUAGGAUUACAGGCAUGAGCCAUCGCGCCCAGAAGAGCUUAUUCUAAAAUUGAACUUCUUGCCCCUCUAAGUACUGUCAUGCCAUGGGUGGAGAAAUUUAGGAAAGUUCUAGAAAUCCCUCCCUAAAGAAUUUCAAAUGUGUAAGAACAUUUAAAAAGUGUUAAGGCAAUUUAAGUGAGUUCUGAGUAAUUGGUACACAAAAAGCUGUUAGUACUGCUCAUCUUGAUUCAAACAUUAAGCCAAGAGGCUUACAAGUAAACUCAGAACAGUGAGAUAAAUGAUAGGCCAAAAAUUCCAGGAACUGCUGAGUCAGGAGAGCGUUUUUCAAGACAUCUGGCCCCAAGAAAAUCUACUUAAAGCAUAAGGAGAACUGGCUGACAAUUUCUGAACCCCUGGUGAUUAUAUUUGAAAGCUUAGGGGAGGGCUCAAAGCAAGAAAAACAUGGGAAGAUGGGGGUGACCGUUGUCCUCCUGGACUGCAAGCUGCAUCUCAACAGAACUUGGGAUGCUGCUUGGACCCUAGAAAAGGCAGACUGUAUGAGAGGCAUAGCAUGCUUCAGGCCAAGACUGGAAUGCCAGAGCAGGGGAGAGAGACUCCAAACCAGGCCAGCCAGGUAGGAGGGCAACUGAGAAGCAGUGGAACGAGAGGCAUAGGAUUCAGGGCCCAAGUGCCCUUAAGGUCGGUGUGGGCUCUCCCUUCUCGGUAUAUCUGCAACUAAACAGGACUGGGGUUGUGCGUCCCUCUCUGGUGUGAUGAAAAGUGACUGGGGCUGCACAGCCAACUCCUGAUGACCCGCCUGGAACAAGUCACUUCACUGUUGAGCCCCAUGCUGCUUCUCCUAAUGCUUAGUUCUCAGGACAGUACUGGAAUUAAAUGAUAACGUAAGACCUAGCACAGAGCCUGGCCAAUCACUAGAUUUCACGUGUGAACAGUUGUUCUGUCCCACGUCCCCCUUUCUAACAUGGGACUAAGAAUUAUUCCCCCAUCCUACUUCUCCCUCAGUGUAAGCAAUAUAAGGAUUUUGAGUAUCAAGUUCUGAGGCCUGGACACAGAAACAUUCUCAUUAUUAUUACUAUUGUUAUUAUUUUCCCUCCAGCAGUCCUGUCUCCUUCCCUCCCAAUCCAUGGCACCCCUUCCAUUCCACAUCAACCUUGUCCUGGGCCCCUGUGGCCUGUCAUUUAGAGCUGCCCCUCGUCCAUCAAGUCCAAUCUCUUUUCUCCCCACACUGCAGACUCACACUAUCUUCUCACUGCUGGGAGUGGACCAUGCUUAUGUCACCAGUAUUGGCAGACUCAUUGGAAUCGUUACUCUAAAGGAGCUCCGGAAGGCCAUCGAGGGCUCUGUCACAGCACAGGGUGUGAAAGUCCGGCCGCCACUCGCCAGCUUCCGAGACAGUGCCACCAGCAGCAGUGACACGGAGACCACUGAGGUGCAUGCACUCUGGGGGCCCCACUCCCAUCAUGGCCUCCCCCGGGAGGGCAGCCCUUCCGACAGCGACGACAAAUGCCAAUGAGCCCCUCGUGGGUGGCCUAGGAUGGUGCUAGCCAUGCCCGUCAGCCCAGAAUGUGCAUAUUUCAUUCCUUCUGCCUUGGGAAGGCAGGAGGCAGCUACAGCUGGAGGCUGCACCCCAGCCUCCUCCAGACCUGGGGUGCCAGCUUCUCCCAGUUCAUCCUACCUGGAAUCUGACCCACUGCCCACCUGCAGCAAGUUUUCCAGGGGCAGGAAGAUCGGCCCUGCCUUGGCAGGAUGGGUUGGGGUCACUUGACCCCUGCUCCCCCUCUGAGGGGAAAGGGGUGGAACUAAGAUGGGUUUAUAACUGGAACCUCCAAUGACCAGAUGUAUAUAGAGAUUUACAAAGAUUUUUAUAUUAAUUUAAUAAAACAAAUUCUUAAAUAGAACAAAAUAAACACCUAAUGAGCCAC
rnacentral:sRNA from 1 species